UACAGAGGGGGCAAGCGUUGUUCGGAAUUACUGGGCGUAAAGGGCGCGUAGGCGGCCUGUUAAGUCGAACGUGAAAUCCCUGGGCUCAACCCAGGAACUGCGUCCGAUACUGGCAGGCUUGAAUCCGGGAGAGGGAUGUGGAAUUCCAGGUGUAGCGGUGAAAUGCGUAGAUAUCUGGAGGAACACCGGUGGCGAAGGCGGCAUCCUGGACCGGUAUUGACGCUGAGGCGCGAAAGCUAGGGUAGCAAACGGG
rnacentral:rRNA from 1 species